rnacentral:tRNA from 1 species
CCGGUUGGGCUGCGUUAGCAGGUCGCUGUGAUAUAGCGGUUGUAAGAUUUUUCUUCGUCGGU